ACAUAAACUAUGAAGAGGAGUAGUACGGGCCAUAGGUUUCAGAGAGCUGCUGGAUGCUGGGAAGCAGUACCGAAAACCCUGAACUUGCCUUGGAGUUCUUCCGGUGAUAAGCCGGGGGCGUGUCAUUCACGUUACAGAAUACUGAGUGCGUAUCUUGUGAUACGAAUUAGAGUGGUACCGCGGAAUUAAUGCCUUUUCGUCUCUAUU
rnacentral:ncRNA from 1 species